CGCUGGCGGCAGGCCUCAAACAUGCAAGUCUAGGGGGUGUAGCAAUACAUCACCGGCGGACGGGUGCGUAACGCGUGGGAAUGUACCUAUUGGUUCGGAACAACUGAGGGAAACUUCAGCUAAUACCGAAUGUGUCCUUACGGAGAAAGAUUUAUCGCCAAUAGAUCAGCCCGCGUCCGAUUAGCUAGUUGGUGGGGUAAUGGCCCACCAAGGCUCCGAUCGGUAGCUGUUCUGAGAGGAAGAUCAGCCACACUGGGACUGAGACACGGCCCAGACUCCUACGGGAGGCAGCAGUUGGGAAUCUUGGACAAUGGGGGAAACCCUGAUCCAGCCAUGCCGCGUGAGUGAUGAAGGCCUUCGGGUUGUAAAACUCUUUCGCGCACGACG
rnacentral:rRNA from 1 species